GGUGCUUCCCUGAGUGAGCCACCCAGGCGCCCCUCUUUCUUCUUUUGAUGUAUGAAUGCACAAGAGUGAUAGAAGAUAAAUGUGUGGGUACAAGGAUGCUCUCUCCAUAAAUACAAAAUUUUUAAAUUCUUAAAAAAAAAAAAAAGGAGCUACUCUGGUAGCAAACGUGGCCACAUAGGAGGGGUCUCAGAGAGAACCUAGCCCAAGCCCCUCAUUUUACAGCCGCCCCAAAGAGAAUCGCCCGAGGUCACCCUGAUGGUCAGCGAAGACAACUAGACAAAAGUCUCCUGGCUAUUGCUGGACCACCUUCUCCUUCAUCCGCUCCCAAGCUAAGGAAAGUAGCACCACAGUGUUGGUGCUUUGUAAACUGUGAUAAAGAAGCAAGUGUUUAGAAACGUACAGUCAAAUCCUAGCACACAGUGCAGGCCUCUUUUGUGACUCAUCGUGCAAGUUCAUAUCCACCCGGCCUCACCCUGCUCAGGGAAACAAGUAUGCUCGGCGAGGCAAGUGCCAAUCACGUGGACUAGCUGCCACGCCAAGUCGCCACGGAGGUCUCAACGUUUUCUCUCAAUCCCGCUCUUUGUCAUGGCUGGUACCGGUUCUCAGACCGGCCCUGCGUAGCUCCGUCCCACCAUCGUACAAAGUCUGUAACAGACUGAUGACAGAGACCAUCCCUGGAUAUCUCCGUAAGCAAAAGCUUAAGUCUCUGCGUUGUUUUGUUUUCAUUUUGUUCCCCGGACGUGGUCUGUGAGGGUGAGGAGCACGGGUUUGAGUGAGAAUCACGACUAGCUGUGUGGCCUUGGGCUGGUGCCUCAACCUCUCUGAGCAUGAGUUUUCUCACCCGUGGAAUCAGGGCACGUGAGUAGCCAGCUCGAGGGACGCGUGUGCAAACGCCAGGGGGCCUGCUACGCAGCAGGCCCUCGUAAGCAUUAGCUAUUAUUAGUGUUAUUAACCCUCGCCUACUAAUGGGGAAGGUCAUCAGAAAAACCUGACGGCCAACUGACCCGUGAGUUGGACCCGGGCAAUUAGAGGCUCCUCACCCCCACCCCUGUCUUGGGAAGUUGGGUUCCGCUCGCCUUUCCCGCUCCCAGAGGCUGCUCAAGAACGUAGAUGUGAGAUAAUGAUGCGGUUUAACAACACCUGCACGGUAUAUGUGCGCCUAGUUAAAGCCUCUACAUAAACUUCUAAGAUCUGGCGAGGGCAGGCGUGGCCACCUAUUCGUCCCGCUCCUGACCAAGACAAGCCUCCUAUAUUCCAUCUCUCAGAUACUAAUUUGGAAAACAAAAGUGGCCAGAUGGACUUCCCAUCCCCAUCUCAUGAGAGGAAGAAAUCCAAAGCAUUUUACAAAGGGGCGAACGUAUUGGUGACGACAGCUCUUAGAAUAUAGAGCACGAUGGUAGGAACAGCAGAUGGAGAUAGAAAAGUUGCGACUUGCUCCCAUCUCACGGCGAACCUUUAGUGGAACGAGGACCCGAAGCUAACUUUUGCCCACCAAGUCACUGCCUCUCUGGGCCUCAGUUUUCUUCCUCUAUAGAUGCAUUUCCUCCCUUCCCCCAUGUCAUUCCUCAAUGGACACUGGAACACCAUGAUUUAAUGCAACUCUUCUGAAAUCGGUAAUGCCCAAAUCCCUCCCUUGUAUUUAAAAAAAAAAAAAAAAAAAAGGAGUAGAGACGAAUGUCAGGCAUUUAAGUACUACACAUAAAAUAAUUUUUAAGUGUUGUGAUGUUUGUGACUUCGUCAGCUCUUUAAAAAUUGUUAUAUUCUCUAAAUAUUCAUGUUUAUAUCUUAAAAAAAUCACUCACGGGGCGCCUGGGUGGCUCGGUCGGUUAAGCGUCCGACUUCGG